CCCUGUACAACUGCAUAUUGUAAAACUAAGACUAAAAUUUUCUAAUGAUAAAACAAUCUGGAAAGCUCAUUAAGCAGGUAAAAACACCUCAGGCAUUUAAGCCUUUCAUUAAUACUGAGUCCAUUGCUAAUUAUGCUGUAAUUUGGUUUAACUGCAUUGAAAGAUUUCAUGGAGUGCUGGAGUAGCUCAGGGGGUCAGGCGGCAUCUCAGGAGAACAUGGAUAGGUGACGUUCCAGAACUGAAACAUCGCCUGUCCGUGUCGCCUGAGAUGUUGCCUGACCCACUGAGGUACUCCAGCACUCUGUCAUUUUAGCAAACCAGCAUCUGCAGUUCAUUGUUUCUUCAUUUAACGAUUGUUUUUUUCCAAAUAUAAAUGGUUAAUUUGAAUCACCAUCACCAGCAAUCCAUUUAAUAAAGUUAGUGUUCAGAUAUCCAGGACCACUUUCCAUUAGGAGUUUGCAAUGCUUUAAAUCACAAUUUAUUUUGUUUAGCUGGAAUAGACUGUGGUUUUUUUCUGUGUGGGAUGGUUUGUAAAUGUUGCUUCAUGCCAUGAUUAACCAAUAAAUAUAUAAUUUCUGUAGAGAGAAAGUGUCCAACUCAUUAAACUCAGUAACUUGUGA